GGCUGUAUAGUGUAGUGGUUUAGCACUCGGGAUUUUGAUGUACCCGGGUUCAAGCCGGGUAUUACGUAAUCAUAUUCCCGCAACCCCGGUUCGAACCCGGGUACGGCCU